GAUGAACGCUGGCGGCGUGCCUAAUACAUGCAAGUCGAGCGAACAGACGAGGAGCUUGCUCCUCUGACGUUAGCGGCGGACGGGUGAGUAACACGUGGAUAACCUACCUAUAAGACUGGGAUAACUUCGGGAAACCGGAGCUAAUACCGGAUAAUAUAUUGAACCGCAUGGUUCAAUAGUGAAAGACGGUUUUGCUGUCACUUAUAGAUGGAUCCGCGCCGCAUUAGCUAGUUGGUAAGGUAACGGCUUACGAAGGCGACGAUGCGUAGCCGACCUGAGAGGGUGAUCGGCCACACUGGAACUGAGACACGGUCCAGACUCCUACGGGAGGCAGCAGUAGGGAAUCUUCCGCAAUGGGCGAAAGCCUGACGGAGCGACGCCGCGUGAGUGAUGAAGGUCUUCGGAUCGUAAAACUCUGUUAUUAGGGAAGAACAAAUGUGUAAGUAACUAUGCACGUCUUGACGGUACCUAAUCAGAAAGCCACGGCUAACUACGUG
rnacentral:rRNA from 1 species